GCUUUAUACAUGCAAGUCGAACGGAGGCCCUAGCUUGCUAGGUGUCCUUAGUGGCGCACGGGUGAGUAACACGUGGGAACAUACCUUAUAGUACGGAAUAACUGCGGGAAACUGUAGCUAAUACCGUAUAUUCCAGUAAUGGGAAAGAUUUAUCGCUAUAAGAUUGGCCCGCGCAAGAUUAGCUUGUUGGUGAGGUAAAAGCUCACCAAGGCUUCGAUCUUUAGCUGGUUUGAGAGGACGAUCAGCCACACUGGGACUGAGACACGGCCCAGACUCCUACGGGAGGCAGCAGUAGGGAAUAUUGGACAAUGGGGGCAACCCUGAUCCAGCAAUGCAGCGUGAGUGACGAAGGCCCUAGGGUUGUAAAACUCUUUCAUCGGUGAGGAUAAUGACAGUAGCCGAAGAAGAAGGACCGGCUAAU
rnacentral:rRNA from 1 species